CUUCCCUCACCUCAUACUAUCUGCCCAGCUUCAACUGUCCCUCGACUCUUUUGUCUUUUCCUCCAUUUUUAUUUUUAAAAUUUAACCUUCUUUUCCUUUAAUUUUUUUUAAUUAAAUAAAAAAAUAAAAAAACAGUGAUAAGCUAGAGAAAGAGAAGUUUCUCUCUCAUGGCCCCGGUGUUAUUAUAACCACCCCCCUCACAUUCCGCUUCCUCAUUCUCACCUCACCUCCCCUCUCUCUCUCCCUCUCCCUCUUUCUCUCUCUUCCCCCCUUCAACCUAGCCGAUUUUCAUGGGGGUACUAUUCAAUAUUCAUCCCAAAAUUAAAAAAAAAAACAAAAAAAAAAAUCAAAUUUCAGAAUGAGUGAGGAUGGAAGCAUAUGAGUUGAGGGGAAUGUUGUCUGGCUCGAGGACUCGUAUGGAUUUAGAUCGAGAUCUUAUAAUGGUCGCCGGACCAGGCUUCAUUCCCCCCAAUUUUCUCUGCUUCCCAAACACCUCCUUUCAUUUCCUCUUCAAUGGCCUUUUUCUUUCUUUCUCAGAUCUACUUCAAUUAACAUAAAGAAUUGUACUACGAUCUCCUUUUCGGAGUAUGACAGAUGCAUGUAUGCUGUCAAGUUACUAGAGAGAAUCUGGAUUGAAUCGCACUCGAUCCUAUUCAUACUAAUUAAGAUAAGAUCUGUGUUUCCCAAUUUUUAAUUUUACUUUUUUUUUUUUUUUUUUUUUUUUAAUAUAAACUUAUAAAUUAUGAGCUUCACAUGUGGAUUGUUGUCCUAGUGUCCUUAAACAAUUAAAUCUGUGUUAAUAUUGUUUGAAAAACUGAUGUGAUGCUUAUUUAAAUUAGGUGAUGAUAACCUAGGGAGUUAAAAUCUGUUCCAAAUUCUUUUAAUGUUGUUUUGAAUGAAUGCAGGAUACGAUGAGAGAAUCAGUGCAACACACUUAAUGAGGCUUUGAUUAUUGCAACAUUAUUUUGACUGACUUUUCUCUGGGUUUUAAUUACUUAGUCCUCGUACUAAUUAAUUUACCAUUUUCUUCAAUCAUCGUCAACUAGUACAACUUGUUGUAUUAAUAGACUCCUCUAAUUGCAUAACAGUUAGACAAACGUUUGGCUAAAAAAGGGGAGCAUACAAGUCAAAAGUUAGACAGGUGAAAAUGGUGUGGGUACAGAUUACCAUGCUCAUCUGUUUGCUAAAAGCCUACAACUCUUUACAAUACUUAACCUCUUUUUUUGUCUCAAGAUUUCCUUUUCUUUCUUUUUUUACAAAUAUUGAACGUGUGAUUUGUGAUGAGAAAACUCAGGACACAGAAAAAGUUAAAACAGUUGAUUUGAAAAGAUAAGAGCGGAGGUUUUUAUGCAUUACACUUUCCCCUCCACAAACUCAAUUGUACCACCAUGGAAAUCAGGAAAUGUAUUUUCACUAAUUUAAUAAUGGUACUAAAUUGCUGUCUAGUUUUUUCAUAGACGCUUCAAAGAGAAACCAAGUUCAAGUUGGAGAUACGAAGAACAACAUGCACUUACAAGUUACAAACGCAUAGGAUGAUAGGAGUACCGAGUACGGAAUAGUAACCAUGGCAUUGGGACAUUGUGAUCGAUUAUCAGCGUUAUUAUGUGAUUAUCCAAACAGCAUUUAAUUUUGCUAUGCUAUAGUCUUUGUUUAGAGUGAUACUCCCUCCGUUCCUUAAUAGGAGUUUAAGACACUUAAAUUGACUUAUUAAUUUAAUGUGUGUGUUUUUUUUUGUUUUUUUCAUAUAGUUAGUGAGAAAUGUGUAGAAGUGUAGGUGAGUUAGUAGUUAAGUGUGAGAAAUAUUAUAAUAUUGGUAAAAAUUUCCAUUUAUAGAA